rnacentral:rRNA from 1 species
AUUGAACGCUGGCGGCAUGCUUUACACAUGCAAGUCGAACGGUAACAGGUUAAGCUGACGAGUGGCGAACGGGUGAGUAAUGCAUCGGAACGUGCCCGAUCGUGGGGGAUAACGCAGCGAAAGCUGCGCUAAUACCGCAUACGAUCUGAGGAUGAAAGCGGGGGACCGUAAGGCCUCGCGCGAUCGGAGCGGCCGAUGUCAGAUUAGGUAGUUGGUGGGGUAAAGGCCCACCAAGCCGACGAUCUGUAGCUGGUCUGAGAGGACGACCAGCCACACUGGGACGGGGACACGGCCCAGACUCCUACGGGAGGCAGCAGUGUGGAAUUUUGGACAAUGGGCGAAAGCCUGAUCCAGCAAUGCCGCGUGCAGGAAGAAGGCCUUCGGGUUGUAGACUGCUUUUGUACGGAGCGAAAAGGUCCUUUCUAAUACAAGGGGCUCAUGACGGUACCGUAAGAAUAAGCACCGGCUAACUACGUGCCAGCCGCCGCCGUAACAC